AUGAUUUGACUCAAGAUGAUCAGUGUCUAGAUGCUACACAUUCAAUGAGAUAGUCUUGCAUACUAUUCGUGAUUGUCAAAUGUCUAAACAGCAUGAAGUGAUUUAAUUGAUAAAAAAAUCACUAAUUCCUUCUUUUCUCUCCUUUUAGACAGGUAGAUCAAAUGGAGUAUGAGUUCUAAAGACAGUGUAUAAGGUAUCUGAAGUUGAAAAUCCAUCUUCCCUGCUACAACUUGGCUCUUGUAAAAGAAGAUGAAUGAGCUGGUGCACGAGGAAGGGGAUGAUGAUUACAAGAUUUCAAGCAAUGAGAUUUUUAGCAUGGCUCUUGAAUCUCAGAAGGUCCAUAUUAGACCUGUCCAUCUUGACAAUGACAACGAGCUCGUCCGUCACCCACAUGUGGAAUGGAGCGCCCUUCCUAUUGACUAAUGCAAGGUCAAUACUGAUGAAUCAGCCUUCAUAAUCCUAGUGAUGCUUCUAUCAAUGGGCUUAUUUGUAAUAGCCAGGAUAAAAGACUUCAAGUUUGAUUGGGGGAAAGAAAUCAGAAAGUUCGUCAUGUAAGUGGACUUCCAAAAUGUUUGUCAGCUCUUUCAUCAUGCUAGAAGCAAGAGCGCAACUAGCACAAGGGCUGAGAGCCAAAUCAGAGAGUAUCUUAUACGUGACUGGACAUUCAGAUUUCUGACAUCCUCCGUGAAGGUAAUACGUGCACCGACCGUCUAGUCCAUUGGGCCCAUAACUCCUCUGAGGGUAUCAGUAGAGUGACUGAGGCUUCAGACAAUCUUAUCACAUAUAUAUGGAUAAUUGUGACAUUACCUAAGCUCGCCUCAUAGAGUAUUAGUUAGUUCCGCGUUUUUUUUUUUGUUGUUUUUAUUUUCUGUUUGUGACCAAAAAAUUGGUGAAAGUAAGUUUAAAAACUCAUGUUUUACUAUUAUGUAUAAUUCUAACAAUUCACAAAUAAAUCCUAGUAAUUAGUUUUGAUUGGUUUAUAAACAUCUCUAAAUAAUAAAUUGAC
rnacentral:lncRNA from 1 species